GUGGUGGAAAGACCAUCAAUGGUUCUCUGAACAAUUGGUUUUUAAUUUUUUUUUUUUUUUUCUUCCGCCUAAUUUUUUUCCUUCGCUGUUUUUUUGUUUCGCAAGAUGUCGCUUAGAUUUUUGGAAUAUGAUAUCGAACAGUUUAUACGCUUUUGAAACCAACUCUGCUUUAACCGAAUACUUUCCCAAAUAAGAGUUAUCUCCCCGAACACUGUUUUUCUUGUUAUCUCUAAGGCUUCGCAACCGUAUAAGAAACCGACAAAUUUAUUUUUCCAAAUUGCUCGUUAUAUCCUCAGGAUGUUCUGUUUUAUUUUGACCGAAGCCGUAUAUAGAUUCCAUAUGAGAGUUAUCCCCCCUUUUAUGUUUGAUAUAAGAAUAUGCAUUUCUAACUGGUAAACCAUAAGUGAUAGAGACCUAGGGUCUUUUGAUUUGAGGUCCUUGGUCCAAAAAAAUGAAAAUAAGGUCAAGGUCAAAGGUCAAGGUCAUAUUAUAAAUUUUUUGAUUUUGGCUUAUUUUCACUUAUUUUCAAAAGCCGUAUAACUUAUCGACAAAUUAUUUUUACUAAAUUGUUAGUUGCGACAUGUCGUAACACGUAGAUUUUAGUCGAAAGAGUACGUAGACAUUUGAUGCCAGUUUUGCCCCCUUUUAUAUCUAAUAUUAGUUGUAAGGUAAUACAACUCAUUAACUAUAUAUAGUAGAGGCCUAGAGUCUUUUGAUUUGAGGUCCUUGGUUGAUGACCUCGAAAUUGAGCUCAAGGUCAUAGGUAAAUGUAACGUUCUAGAUUUUGACCUUUGCUUUUACCUCAUAUGUAUACAUGAUCAAGACAUGGGACUUUUUAAAUUAGGUUGCAAGCAAUGUGAUCUAGAAAAAGACAACCGGAAGUGACCUUUUGUAAACCGGAAGUAGCUAUAUUUUUGUACUUCAUUAAUGAAAAAGUAUAUAGAACCAUAUAUUUUUGGAAUCAGUGUCAAGUAAACAAUAAACUUUACCGGAAAUAACAUAUUUUUAAACCGGAAGUAAACAAUUAUCUCCCUUAUUUAUAUCUUUUUGUAUAGAAACCAUAUAUUUUUGGAAUAAGCGUUCAAUAAGCUGUCAUUUGACGCUAAAAUUGACAUUUAAAACCAAAUUUUAAUAUUUUCAUAUAAAAAAAGGUCUUAACUGGUGGAAAGACCAUCAAUGGUUCUCUGAACAAUUGGUUUUUAAUUAUUAUUAUUUUUUUUUUUUUUUUUUUCCGCCUAAUUUUUUUCCUUCGCUGUUUUUUUGUUUCGCAAGAUGUCGCUUAGAUUUUUGGAAUAUGAUAUCGAACAGUUUAUACGCUUUUGAAACCAACUCUGCUUAACCGAAUACUUUCCCAAAUAAGAGUUAUCUCCCCGAACACUGUUUUUCUUGUUAUCUCUAAGGCUUCGCAACCGUAUAAGAAACCGACAAAUUUAUUUUUCCAAAUUGCUCGUUAUAUCCUCAGGAUGUUCUGUUUUAUUUUGACCGAAGCCGUAUCCGGAGAUUCCAUAUGAGAGUUAUCCCCCCUUUUAUGUUUGAUAUAAGUGAUAUUGCAUUUCUAACUGGUAAACCAUAAGUGAUAGAGACCUAGGGUCUUUUGAUUUGAGAUCCUUGGUCCAAAAAAAUGAAAAUAAGGUCAAGGUCAAAGGUCAAGGUCAUAUUAUAAAUUUUGAUUUUGGCUUAUUUUCACUUAUUUUCAAAAGCCGUAUAACUUAUCGACAAAUUAUUUUUACUAAAUUGUUAGUUGCGACAUGUGGUAACACGUAAAUUUUAGUCGAAAGAGUACGUAGACAUUUGAUGCCAGUUUUGCCCCCUUUUAUAUCUAAUAUUAGUUGUAAGGUAAUACAACUCAUUAACAAUAUAGUAGAGGCCUAGAGUCUUUUGAUUUGAGGUCCUUGGUUGAUGACCUCGAAAUUGAGCUCAAGGUCAUAGGUAAAUGUAACGUUCUAGAUUUUGACCUUUGCUUUUACCUCAUAUGUAUACAUGAUCAAGACAUGGGACUUUUUUAAAUUAGGUUGCAAGCAAUGUGAUCUAGAAAAAGACAACCGGAAGUGACCUUUUGUAAACCGGAAGUAGCUAUAUUUUGUACUUCAUUAAUGAAAAAGUAUAUAGAACCAUAUAUUUUUGGAAUC
rnacentral:lncRNA from 1 species